GUGCACAAGUUUGCCUCCAAACAACUGGGUGAUGCCUCCAAACAGACCUGGAAUCAUCCAUUUCUCCAAGGAUCUCUGCUUCUUCUUGUAAAAUAGGCUAUUUAAGGACUACAAUCUGAGCAUUAAGGGUCUUGGAGGAAGGCAUCCUUCUAUUCUACUGAUCAGAAAGCUGGACAAAGUCCCACUGCCAGGCUACACAGUUGGUGCCAUUUGCGGAGGUGACCUUUGACCUUUAACCCACGCGGCCACCCGCCCGAGCUCUUACCCCUGCUGCCCCUCGCGCGUCCCACUCCCCGUCCCUGCCGGAUCCGCUUCCCUGCGCUGGGCCCAGCGCGCCGCCAGGGAAGGGGCCGGAGCCUGGGAGCCCGCCCCGCCGUCGCCCGUCCUCCGCCCGCAGGCCCACCCGCAGCGGUCACGUGAAGGACCGAGCGCCGCGCGCCCAGGCGGGGCCUCCGGCCUGCAC
rnacentral:lncRNA from 1 species